rnacentral:lncRNA from 7 species
UUAUUUGCAGGAAAAGUGCACUUCAAAAGCGUACUUAUGCAUUUUUUGACAAAGAACUUGCAAAGAGCGUACCGAGGUGGGUCUGUUACGAGGAUGCUGCUCUGAUAUCACCACGGUGAAUCUUCUAUUACAACCUGCCACGUUGUAUCUCCAGUGAUGCUUCCUGCAGCACUGAUUUCUGCCAAACAGCUCAACCUGGUUCUCACACAAAUAUCAGUCUUGUAUUUGUGAGCAUAGCUGUCCAUUUGUCUGCGUGAGACAGGCUUCUCAUGCACCCAAAUGGAUUUCAUGCUUGUCAGUUUAAUCACUUGUGUGUGUGGGUCCAGCACUCCUAGCUUGAAGUGAUUUGGCUAUGAGAUGUUUGUAUACUGUACUAUGUUUGUGUGUGGUAUGCACAAUCUGGAUGUGGUAUAGUCGUUGUAAGUUGAAAAAUCAUUUCAUUAGUGGUACAUUUAUUUUUGUUACUGGUUCCAGCAAAGAUGUAAUUUGUUUUAGAUCUAUUCUAGUGUUUUCUAUUUAGGGUCACUGCUCAUUCCACAAACUAAACCAAUGAUUGUGAUCCGUGGUGUGUCUCGUUCCCUUUUCGCUUGCUGUGAUUAUAAUACUUGGCACCUAACAUCACAAACACUUACUCUGCAAACUAUGACACUGUCACAAGAAAGGCCAACUGCAUUAAAUUGUUACAGAACAGAGUUCUUCUUUAAGUGCGCAGCUUUUCAUUUUAAAGCUCCAUAUCAAAGAUCAAUAUGUGGUUAAUGUGUGGUGAGGAAAGAGCAGAUUAAGGACUACUUUAAAAAGGAAUUGUACUUUUUUCAAUGGUUGGAGCUUUGCAUUUUCACUCGGGGUAUUAGUUACGCAAUGGCCAUAUUCCCAUGACUCUAUCAUAAAUGAGUUGUGAAAUCCAAUAGUAUAUCUUGGCCAGGUAAAUAAAUAGGGACAAAAUAUUAUAAUGGCUUUCACAUUUCAUAUCCUAUGUGUUUUAUCUCAGAUGAAUAGGCUCAAUGAAUGUUACGGUAUGUGCAUUCUGCUAAAAAUAUUACAUUUGAUUCCUAAUGGGACAUAAAUUGCCUUUUGCAAACCUUCGAGGAAAUGUCAGUCUAUUCUAUGGAAAAUGUAUUUCAGUACUAAAUUUACUUUGUACCAUUUUGCCCUACUGAGCUUUACCCCGUCUUACAUUUUUAAACUGAAAUUGAUGUUUGGGGUUGAUCUGACUCUUAGUUACAAAGGUCUUCUUUUCACUGAAGUGAAGUAGCACAAGCCUUGUUUCUCUGCAUCCUGCUGCAUCUUAAGGUGUUCAGUACUACGUUAACAUAGGAAGAAUAGCAAAAACUAUUAUAAGCUACUUGAAUUUUGUUAUUUUGGCGUAUAAAGUAAAAGUAAUUUACAAAAGAGUAGGUCUAAAUCAUGUUACAGAGUUCUGUGCUGUAUCUAAUGGAUCCUUCAAUGUUUAGUGCAGUGUGAGCUUAAGUGAUGCAACUGAUAAUAUAAACUAGUAUUAUGGUGCUAAAUUAGU